rnacentral:rRNA from 1 species
UACGGAGGGGGCUAGCGUUGUUCGGAAUUACUGGGCGUAAAGCGCACGUAGGCGGCUUUGUAAGUUAGAGGUGAAAGCCCGGGGCUCAACUCCGGAAUUACCUUUAAGACUGCAUCGCUAGAAUUGUGGAGAGGUAAGUGGAAUUCCGAGUGUAGAGGUGAAAUUCGUAGAUAUUCGCAAGAACACCAGUGGCGAAGGCGGCUCACUGGCCCGAUACUGACGCUGAGGCACGAAAGCGUGGGGAGCAAACAGG